GAUGAAUGCUGGCGGCGUGCCUAAUACAUGCAAGUCGAGCGGUAAGGCCCUUCGGGGUACACGAGCGGCGGACGGCUGAGUAACGCGUGGGAACAUGCCCCAAAGUGAGGGAUAACGCACCGAAAGGUGUGCUAAUACCGCAUAUGGUCUUCGGAUUAAAGGAUUUAUCCGCUUUGGGAGUGGCCCGCGUACGAUUAGAUUGUUGGUGAGGUAACGGCUCACCAAGUCGACGAUCGUUAACUGGUCUGAGAGGAUGAUCAGUCAGACUGGAACUGAGACACGGUCCAGACUCCUACGGGAGGCAGCAGUAAGGAAUCUUCCACAAUGGGCGAAAGCCUGAUGGAGCAACGCCGCGUGCAGGAUGAAGGCCCUCGGGUCGUAAACUGCUUUAUGAGUGAAGAAUAUGACGGUAACUCAUGAAUAAGCACCGGCUAACUACGUGCCAGCAGCCGCGGUAAU
rnacentral:rRNA from 1 species